rnacentral:rRNA from 1 species
AACGAACGCUGGCGGCAUGCCUAACACAUGCAAGUCGAACGAGACCUUCGGGUCUAGUGGCGCACGGGUGCGUAACGCGUGGGAAUCUGCCCUUGGGUUCGGGAUAACAGUUGGACACGACCGCUAAUACCGGAUGAUGUCUUCGGACCAAAGAUUUAUCGCCCCAGGAUGAGCCCGCGUAGGAUUAGCUUGUUGGUGAGGUAAGAGCUCACCAAGGCGACGAUCCUUAGCUGGUCUGAGAGGAUGAUCAGCCACACUGGGACUGAGACACGGCCCAGACUCCUACGGGAGGCAGCAGUGGGGAAUAUUGGACAAUGGGCGAAAGCCUGAUCCAGCAAUGCCGCGUGAGUGAUGAAGGCCUUAGGGUUGUAAAGCUCUUUUACCCGGGAUGAUAAUGACAGUACCGGGAGAAUAAGCCCCGGCUAACUCCGUGCCAGCCGCCGCAGUAA